rnacentral:rRNA from 1 species
UACAGAGGGGGCAAGCGUUGUUCGGAAUUACUGGGCGUAAAGGGCGCGUAGGCGGCCUUCUAAGUCGAACGUGAAAUCCCCGGGCUCAACCCGGGAACUGCGUCCGAUACUGGAAGGCUUGAAUCCGGGAGAGGGAUGCGGAAUUCCAGGUGUAGCGGUGAAAUGCGUAGAUAUCAGGAGGAACACCGAUAGCGAAGGCAGCUCGCUGGGACGGUACUGACGCUAAGGCGCGAAAGCGUGGGGAGCGAACAGG